CCCAGCCCCCCCACCGUUUUUAAUAUUUUAUAUGGAGACAAGUUCUCACUGAGUUGCUUAGGGCUUCACUAGGUUUCUGAGCCUGAUGAACUCGCCAUCCUGCCUCAGGAUCCCAAGCCACUGGAAUUACAGGUGGAUGCCACCUGACCUGUCUCUGAAGUUGUCUUUAUAGGAAAGAGCUGGGGGAGAAGUAACUAUGCAAGAACAGGGUGACUUGUGAGAAAGUUGAGCUAGGAGCUAGCACAGAACUGGGGGGAGGAGGGCGGAACUGGGGGCAGAUGUGGCUGAGGAGAUGCUGAUUACAGCGAAUAGGCAGAGCUGUGGCUAAGAAUUGGGGAAGUUGCUGAAUGCUCAAGCACUCUGUAAGGAGCUGGUGCAGAGAUGCAGGCAGAUCUUUGGAGAAAGCUGGGGAAAGACCUAGUGCUGCACCAGGGAGGGGGGACCUAUGGUCAAGUUGGGGGAGGAGCCCACAGAGCUGUGGGAGGAGCUGCCAGAUGCACAGGGCAGAAGUGAGGAGGAAGCUUAGGGUUUCUGUGCUGCACUCUUAGUCAAGAGGGGAAAAUGGCCAAACCAGGGUCCUCAUGGACCUAACCGAACCCUGAGUGUGUACUUUAGGGUGCACUCCAGAGGAGUAGCAGCUGGGAGAAGGGAGACGCCUGCCUGUGUCCACAGAGUUCAGGGCUGAGGCUUGCACCACAGGGAUGAACCCCCCACAGCUUUCCUUUCCCCUAGAUGCAUUUUGGUUCCUGCCAGUGAGGCUGGGAAUAACCGUCUUUUGUUUUGAAGGGAGCUGAAUAGCACCACCCUAUGUGCUGCUGCCCCUCAGACCUAAGUUGCCAAAACCACCUCCCAACUUCCGUGCCAACCUGGCUUUUCGUCUUUCACACCACAACCUUCCCUCAGGAUCACCAUGCUUCCUUACACUGUCCUGCCUAGUGACUGGAGAGCCAAGUUCUAGGUCCCUGCCUCUACCUUACAUGUAAGAAGACAGAUUCCUCUUCCUUUGUUCCCUUUGCUACUUGCUGAGGUCAGGCCACAUUCUCUGGUGUCUGUGCUAUCCCCUGAUUUUCCUGACUGGCCUAGAGUCCUGUGUUGCGUCUUUUCUGUUGGUCCUCCAUCAUACAGUACCCCUCACUCUCUACCUUGCAAAUCAGUCCCCUACUGAAAACCUGCCAAGCCUUCUCCUGUAGGGGUGCAGGCGCCUCAAGUUUCAGCCCGAGCUCUCUCCCCCCUUCUGGACUAACACUGGCCAGAGUCAAAGUGUGCUUUGGGGUACCUGGUCCCUGACCCAACCUGUUCCACAGGACUCCUUGCUUUGAAGCUAUGGUUCGUACAGAAUUGAAUGCCCAUCCCCUCUUAUCCUGACAACCUAUCCUCCAAGCACAACUUUCAAUUCACCUUCACUGUUGCACAAUCAAGUGUCCUAUUUCUGGUAGCCUUCCUUCUGGUAGACCCAUGCUCCAAGCAUUGGGUCCUUGUAACCCAGAGCUGCAACUGCUCUCCCGGAGUCUGUGGCCACAGCAGGAUCUCUAAGUUCCUGGAAGGCAAGGCUGCUUUUACUCCUUUCUGUAAUCUGGGUGCCGGGCAUAGUAGCUGCUUAGUAAACAUCAGAUGGACCAGAGGAGUGCUCUCUCCCAGUGAGAGGUACUUGUACUUUUCCUGGAGAAGCUCAAGAAAACAGGAAAGCUGGAGGUAAAGUGAGUGGGAGAGGGUACCUUGUUCACAUGAGGGAGGCCUUAGGGCUCAAGGAGCCUUAAAGUUCAUAUGGGACUCCCACCUAGGUUGGUGUCCCCUCCAGGCCUCUUUCCUCCACAAAUCGUUCCAGCCCCUGCCCAGCACCACGGCAUCUCCUCAGAGCUGUUUGGAAUAGACUCAUACAUGUGCACUGGCAAUAAAUCACAGGAGAAAUGUCCCUCUUUUUUCGAUAAUGAGAAAUUUACCAGGGAAGAGGAAGUCCCUCAAGAGCAGAAUUGGCUCUACUGAUUAUCGUGCCUUCUACUACAGUGCCAAAGACACCCUUAAUUGUAUAUUCAAAAUUGUGUAGAAAAUUUUCAAGAGAAGAUUACAUUGUGAUUUCUGCAAGGUUUUUAACUACUACGUGAAGAGUUCUUUCAGAAAAGAAGUUUAUUUGGCUCACAGUUCUGGAGGCUGGGAAAUCUAAGGGCAUGGUGCUGGCAUAUAAAAUGACAAAUGGUGAAAAGCCUCAUCUCCCAGCACUUUCCUUCUAAUCUCUCUGUAGAAAGCAACAUUUCAACCAAGAAGCAAGUAGGAAUUGUGACAUUUUCUCAACAUCCUGAGCUCCCUGUCCUACCUCAGAAGCUAAAGGAAAUCCCAAAAUCCAGUUACUUCCCAAGGUCAAUUCUAUUUGGAUAUUGAAUGUAUACCUUCCCAAGCAUUGUGAUCUCCAAAUUAUUUGGAGGACACAACAUCUUUGUUUGUACGUGGUGCUGAGGAUCGAACCCGGGCCGCACGCAUGCCAGGCGAGCGCGCUACCGCUUGAGCCACAUCCCCAGCCCCUACAACCUGGAUUCUUAAAAAAAUUUAUAGCAUGAAAAAAUUUUAAAGGAGGGACACUUGCUAUGUAUUGUUUGAACCAUGAACUAUGAAUCAUGCUUUAAUUAUUUUACACCAUAGAUACUUAGGUACUUUAAAACAAUAUAAUAAUGUAACAUAUUCAAUUUUAAUACAUAUGCUUACAUUCAUAAUUAUAUAUUUAAUGUAUCUUUGAAAUAUACAUGGUGUCAAAAUUCAAUUCCUCUUCUCAAAAAUAUGUACUGGUUCCCACUAAAUGAAUAAACUUAAGUUUUUUGUUUGCUUAAAAAAUUAGUUAUGCCAUUUCACUGCAAAGAACAAACAACAAAAACAACAAUAUAAAAUAGAAAAAUAUUUAUUAUCUCUCUGGUGUGUAUUUAUUUUCUAAAUGAUAUAUUAUAAUCUUCUUAGGAUGGCAUAUUGAUCUGUUUUCUUCAUACUUAUUCAGCUUGUUCUCACAUCACUCCCCUAUCCCCACAUUUUAUCAGCCUUCAGCAAUAUUCUUCUGUGUCUUUUAACAUGUUCCCUCUACUGAGACAUUGCUUCCUGUCUGACUAGUGAACCACUCUUUAUCCUUCAAAACAUUGUCCUCUUUUCUAGAAAGCCAUUUUGAGUGUUCUAGGCACAAUGUCUUACCUCUGGGAUCCUUACGUAUUUUAUACAAUAACAUGUUGCAACUCUUUUGUUUUUAUGUCCAUGUUCUAUACUAGUCUCUGAGCCCUUCAAUGACACUGUGGUAGUUUUUCAGCAAUAACUAUUAGUAGGUGCUCAGUAAGUAUUUACAGAAUUAAUGAUUUGGAUGUCCCAUACACUGAAUUGUGAUCCCUGAAAAUUUAGCUAUGUGGCAUUGAGGGUGGAAAGAACUUGAUAAUACCAUUUUCAUCUGUUGUUUUCUACUCUAAUAAAAGAACUGCAAAAUUUGAGAUUUCAAGGAGAUAGAUAUGAUCACUCAGCUUGAAUCCAGAGGGGACGAUUUAUAGGAACCUGCUUCAGUGAAUGUGGAUCUGCAUAUAUUCUGGGAGCUGUAAAGGACAUGCUUUUACCCCUCCUUGACUGGUUCUUGUCAAGAAUUCUAGUAGUUCUUCUGCUCUAGGAGUCACUUUUGGGUCAAUCAGAGAUUAUAUUCCUGGGGCUGGGGUUGUGGCUCAACUAGUAGAGUGCUCGCCUAGGCACUGGGUUCAAUCCUCAGCACCACAAAAAAAUAAAAUAAAGAUAUUGUAUCCACCUACAACUAAAUUUUUUUAAAAAAGAGAUCGUAUUCCUUUAGAAGGAUGAGUGUGAUGUUAAUGGAAGCAUUUCUAGAUGUCUACAGAGCUUGAAAUUCUGAGAACCAUCUGUGAACUAGAUUUACCCAAUAGGAUGAGUAACUCUGUGGUAGAGUGGGGGACUAAAGAAGGCUCAAGAACCUCUAGCCUAAGGACAUUGAACAGUGUAUGGUCCCUAUAGGCCUAUAGGGCAUGAGCUCUCAGAGACCAGAGUAGUUUGGUAGAGAAUGGCUUAUAGCUAUGCUAGGUCUAAAUUCCACAGGCAUAGCAAAUCUACUUGGUUUCCUUGGCUCUGAGGGACUGACCUUUCAAAUGGCUUGUUGCUCUUGGGAGUUACCUCUUCAGGGAAAGCUCAGGAGACUCUGUACUUACCUGAGUAAAAAUGCUCAGGAUGAUCUGGAUGAGCAUUUGGAAGUCAGGUUGUUUCUAUCAGUUUAUCCUGCUCCACUAGGCUCCAUGCCUUUUACCAGGCAUGAGAGAGUAGGUUAGGGAAGAAGUAAGUUGACAGAAAAACUGGGGUUCAUUGACCUUUCCUCAGUGGUGAUUAGCUGUGAAACCUUCAGGAAUCUUGAACUGCCACCCUCAGACUUGGUUUUUCACUAUGUUAUUCUUUCCCAGAAUGCACUUCUAAUAUCAGCUAGGCCAAUGCACUUCCUAUUGAACCAAGUUGCUUUAUUACUCUGAUACCUUGGUGAGCCUAAUAGAGACUAGUAGAUUAGUAGACUUUGGUUUUAUGGAAUUAAAUUGUUAUUUAUGGCUCAGAGAGACUAAGAAGAAGCUAAAAUGGCAGAAAUAUCUUUGCAUUACAGUAUAGCAGUUUGCAAAAGCCCUUACAUGCAUUAAUUAAUUGAUUGUUCAAUCUUCAAUCCACCAGUGUCUAUCCUUUAGUAGACAUUCAUAUGUUUGUUUUAUGAAUGAACAUGGGGGUUUAUUGUACCUCUUUUACAGAUUGGGCUACUGAGGACCAAGCAAGUGAAUUGAGUUUCUUGAAAUUCAAGUCUAUAUUUUAUCAAAUGUAGAGCCUUGACAUCUGGGUCAUUUCAGGUCAACAUUUACUGAGUACCUAUUAAGUGACAUGUACUUGCCUAUGCUUAACAAUGUAUUCCUUGGUUUUGAGAGAUUGUAGGCUUUUGGGGGAGUCACACACAUAAACACAUAAUUUCAACAAAAUAUGCUAAAUGAUGGUGCAGCCUGCUGCCUAUGGAUUGAGAACUCUGAAACCAUGAGCCCCCAAAUAAACUUUUCCUUCUCUACAGUUGUGCUGAUCAGGUCAUUUAGUCAUAGCUUUGAAAAAGAUGACUAAAAAGAAAUUGGUACCAAGAAGUAGGUUUGCUGAUGUGGCUAACUUUACCAUGUGGUUCAAAAGCUAUUGGAGCUUUUUGGAAUUGGUUGGAGAAAUUUUGAGAUGUGUAGCAGUACAACCUGGAAAUGCUUUAUAUUGUUGUAAGCAAAGUUUAAUGGCUGAUUCUGGUGGGAGCUCAGAAUACCAGAAUGACAAUAGGACCGUGGCCAGUGAAGACAAGGCUCAAGAGCGUUUAGAAGAAAAGGAGGACACUAUUGGUAAUUGGACUAGAGGCCAUUCAUGUUAUGUUCUGGCUGAGAAGUUGUCUUCAUUUUGUCCAUGUCCUGAGACUUUCUGUGAGGCUGAUUUGAAAAGCGACAAACUUCUUAAUGCAGCAGAAGAAAUUUCUAAGCACCAUAGCAUUCAAGGAGUGGCAUAAAUAUUGCUGGUGGCUUUUAGCCAAAUUUAUUAUGAUGUUCUGGAACAGAAAGCAGAGCAGAAAGAUUUCAAAAACUUGGACUUGAAAGGCAGGAGUAAAAUUGGGGCUAAGGAAGUUGCAGUUGUUAAAGACAUUACAAAGAAAUGUUAAUGACUUUGCCCAGAGACAAUAAAAAAAGAUGGCUUGAGGGCAUCUCAGGAAUUGGUAAGAUCAUAUCCAUAUCAGACUCGAGGAAGUAAAAGUAAAGAUUCUUUUGAGAAGAGACCAGUGGGAUACCCUUCUUGCACAAGGGGGCCUAGGAAGUUUUGUCAACAUGCCUAGCUACCCAGACACUUAGAGGCUUCCAUACCCAGGGUCCCUGGAGUCCUGGCUAUAGCUCCAGAUGGCGGCCAAUCUUGGCAUCAUGCUGGUUCUGCAGGAAUGCAAGAUACUGGAAUUAGGCAUCAUGGAGGCUUCCACCAAGAUUUCAAAGGAAGGCCAGGGACACCAGGAAAAGUGUAGCAGGAUCAGAGUCCCUGUGGGCACCCACUGAGAGGAUGAUGCAUGGAGAUGUGAGGAGGAAGCUGAAGCUGAGUUGGAGACCCCAAAGAUUAAGAAAUGCUAGUACUGUGGAAAGUCUGCUGAGGAAGGCUGCAGAAAUUGAGCUGAGACAAGGCAACAAAAAGUCCAUUUGUGCUGCAACCAACAAGACCACAGGGGCAGAGCUACACAAACCCUUUGGACAGAACAUCAUCAUGCCAUGUGCCCCAGAUGCGGGAAGUGGAGCUACAGGACUUGUUUGCCCAGCUGGAUUUCAGUCUUACAUUGGUUCUAUCCCUUAUUUCUAUACCCUAUUUUUUGAGUGGAAAUGUUUACUCUGUACCAUUAUAUAUUGGAUACUUAUAAUCACUUUUGAUUUUUAUAAGCUCUGACAACUUGAGCUUGCCCUAAGUCUCAGAGAAGUCUUUGAACUUAAACUUUUGGGCAAUCUUGAACUGUUGAGAUUAUGGGGACUCUUGGAAAUGGACAAAAUGUAUUUAGCAUUGUGAGAUGAGUGUGAGCUUUUGGGGGCCAGGGACAGAAUGUUAUGGAUGUGAGUUAUCCCCCAAAGCUCACAUGUAAGACAAUGCAAAAAGAUUCAGAGAGGAAAUGAUUGGGUUUUGAGAGUCUUAACACAAUCAGCGAAUCAAUCACCUGAUGGGAUUAAUUAAGUAGUAACUGAAGGCAGGUAGGGUAUGGCUGGAGGAGGUGGAGUAUUGGCGGUAUGGCUUUUGGGUAUAUA